CUACGGGAUGCUGCAGUGGGGAAUCUUAGACAAUGGGGGAAACCCUGAUCUAGCCAUGCCGCGUGAGCGACGACGGCCCUAGGGUUGUAAAGCUCUUUCAGCAGGGAAGAUAAUGACGGUACCUGCAGAAGAAGUCCCGGCUAACUCCGUGCCAGCAGCCGCGGUAAUACGGAGGGGGCUAGCGUUGUUCGGAAUUACUGGGCGUAAAGCGCGCGUAGGCGGAUUGUUAAGUCGGGGGUGAAAUCCCGGGGCUCAACCCCGGAACUGCCCUCGAUACUGGCAGUCUUGAGUUCGAGAGAGGGGAGUGGAAUUCCGGGUGUAGAGGUGAAAUUCGUAGAUAUUCGGAGGAACACCAGUGGCGAAGGCGGCUCACUGGCUCGAUACUGACGCUGAGGUGCGAAAGCGUGGGGAGCAAACAGGAUUAGAUACCCGUGUAGUC
rnacentral:rRNA from 1 species